UGAACGCUGUCGGCGUGCCUAAUACAUGCAAGUCGAGCGAACAGACGAGGAGCUUGCUCCUCUGACGUUAGCGGCGGACGGGUGAGUAACACGUGGAUAACCUACCUAUAAGACUGGGAUAACUUCGGGAAACCGGAGCUAAUACCGGAUAAUAUAUUGAACCGCAUGGUUCAAUAGUGAAAGACGGUUUUGCUGUCACUUAUAGAUGGAUCCGCGCCGCAUUAGCUAGUUGGUAAGGUAACGGCUUACCAAGGCAACGAUGCGUAGCCGACCUGAGAGGGUGAUCGGCCACACUGGAACUGAGACACGGUCCAGACUCCUACGGGAGGCAGCAGUAGGGAAUCUUGCGCAAUGGGCGAAAGCUUGACGGAGCAACGCCGCGUGAGUGAUGAAGGUCUUCGGAUCGUAAAACUCUGUUAUUAGGGAAGAAAAAAUGUGUAAGUAACUAUGCACGUCUUGACGGUACCUAAUCAGAAAGCCACGGCUAACUACGUG
rnacentral:rRNA from 1 species